AACGAACGCUGGCGGCAUGCCUAACACAUGCAAGUCGAACGAAGCCUUCGGGCUUAGUGGCGCACGGGUGCGUAACGCGUGGGAAUCUGCCCUUUGGUUCGGAAUAACAGUUGGAAACGACUGCUAAUACCGGAUGAUGACGAAAGUCCAAAGAUUUAUCGCCAGAGGAUGAGCCCGCGUAGGAUUAGCUAGUUGGUGUGGUAAAGGCGCACCAAGGCGACGAUCCUUAGCUGGUCUGAGAGGAUGAUCAGCCACACUGGGACUGAGACACGGCCCAGACUCCUACGGGAGGCAGCAGUGGGGAAUACUGGACAAUGGGCGAAAGCCUGAUCCAGCAAUGCCGCGUGAGUGAUGAAGGCCCUAGGGUUGUAAAGCUCUUUUACCCGGGAUGAUAAUGACAGUACCGGGAGAAUAAGCCCCGGCUAACUCCGUGCCAGCAGCCGCGUAA
rnacentral:rRNA from 1 species